UAUUUCUUGCAACUCUUUGGGAUUAGCAGAGACAGAUCAUUGUCCCUCUUCACGGUGUCUACAAUGCCGGGGGCAGAGCUGAAGUCAGGGUGGGGAGGGCCUUCAGAGGCUGUUCAUAAAGCGUUGCACUUUCCAGGCAAAUCAUAGAUGAGAGAGAUUAGGAUUUGCUUUGAUUAGCAUGUUGUUUUUAGAUGGAAAACAAUAAUUAAAGGUGGUUAGUUGUGGGGAAAAAGAACAAGCAAAGACAGGCGAUCACAGACGAGCCAAAUAAGUAGACUCCUUAUACAGUGUGAUUCCUGCGAACAACGAUCACAGUAUUGCACAAUAUAAUACCAGUGAAGUUAGUCAUAGCCUGUUAUGGAAACAGUGAUUAAAUGAUAACUGCGGGAGGGCCCUGUGAGAACAAUGACGAAACGCUACCUAACUUCUGAAGUGGCUGCAAAUUUUAUUCGGAUUUUGGAAAGCUGCCAGCUCCCUGUGAUUUUAUUGUUGAUAAUUUCUACAACAAAAUUAGGUCAACACUGGACUCAGUUGCUCCACUUGUAACCAAAAAAAUCAAAACAAGACCCAUACCACCAUGGAGACCUGGAGAGAUCAGGGACUUGAAAAGAAGCUGCAGGAGAGCUGAGAGAAGGUGGAGAAAGUCCAAGUUAACGGUUCAUUAUGACAUCUACCGUGAACAUCUUAAAUCUUAUAAUAUCACGGUCAAACGUGCAAGAAUGUCUCAUUUUCAUAAUCUAAUUGCUAAUCAUAAAAAUAACCUGAAAUUCCUCUUCUCUACGAUUGACCUUUUAACUAAUAAAAACUUUAACAGAUCCUCCAUUCCUAAUGACACCCUAUGUGAGGACUUUGCAGACCACUUCAGAAGUAAAAUCAAUGACAUCAGGUUGAAUCUUUUACCCCAACAGAUUUUAACUGUCGACUCACCUAGGCCGUUGAUUUUACCCGACGAAGCACUGGAGAGUUUUGCCCUGGUUGAUGUAAGGACGCUUGGUCGAGUAUUCUCCCAGGUUAAGCCCACAACCUGCCUUCUCGACCCAAUUCCUACACCAUUUUUUAAGAAAUUUUAUGGCUUCUUUGAGGAACAGUUGCUGUACAUUGUGAGUUGCUGUCCAACCUGGAACAGCAGACAGACAGAGUUAGUGUGCAGGACCACCUAGAGAACAUAUUCCACUGAAGGUCAUGUAGAUCAAAACUAAGCUAAAAGACAAAGAAAUAUUGGAUUUAUGUUCUUCAUUUGUUCAGAGAUGUUCAUGAAUGACUGUAAAUAAACUCCAAGGUUGCUAUUUGUCCUAUGGAUACAUAGAACUAAGUAACUGCUAGCUAACAGCUUACCUUGAACCACUGUAGAAGGUGAUAAAAGAUACUUUUUGUGGAUAGUCUGAGCUGUGCAGAAAUUACUAAUGACAAUAACAAGUCUGUACUAGUGGAAGGAUUCCUUCUGGGUUGUUUUUCCCACAGGAUCUUAACAUCUCACCGUACCUUGACCAGAACAAUUAGUUUCCUUUGUGAGGAAUAAAUGCAAUUUAAUACGAUACCUCAGGUUUUAACAGGGUUACAGAGUGUGAGGAUCCUGCAGGGCUUCACAUGUGAACAGCUAAAUGAGUGAGGAACAAGGGGCUGUGCAAUGGCUCGGUGGUUAGCACUGUCGCUAGAAGUUUGCAUCCCGGCCUUCCUGGGAUCUUUCUGCAUGGAGUUUGCAUGUUCUUCCUGGGCAUGUUUGGGUUUUCUCUGGGUACUCCAGCUUCCUCCCACAGUGCAAAACCAUGCUGAGGUUAACUGGUAACUCUAAAUUGUCCGUAGGUGUGAAUGUAAUUGUCUCCAUAUGUAGCCGUGUGAUAGACUGGUGACCUGUCCAAUCAGCUGGGAUAGACUCCAGUCCCUCACAACCCUAAUGAGGAUUAAGUGGUAUAUACAUAAUAGUAAUAACUUCAUUUGGAUAGCACCUUUUGGAAGAACAUUCACAAAGCACUUUGACAGGUAGAACAUAAGAUAACAAAAAUGUAUAGAAUGGAUAGCUAAUUAAAAGCUGGUUGAAAGGACGACAUAAGGGGGUUAAGAGAGAAGCUGAAGAGAAAAUAAAAGAUAGAAAUAGAUUUAGAUCAGGCGGUUAGAAAGAGAGCCUACAAGCAGUGAACAUUUUAAAAGGGAUAAAAAGGUAGCAAGUGAUAAUAGAGAAAUAAAAGAGAACUUCAUUUGAAGGCGAGUCUAUAAAAGUGGGUUUUAAGAAAUGAUUUAAAAGAAGUUACUGAUUGGACGAGCCUUAUCUCAGGCAGGUCGUUCCAAAGCCGAGGGGCCCUGAUGGAGCAGGCCGGUCACCCUUGGAUUUAAGGCUCCUGUCAUAAGGCAGGGGGGUUUGAACCCAGAGUGCAGGCACACAGGAGGCAGGUGGAUACUUAAACAGGACUUUUAAUUCCAAAAAAACGAAGCAAACCAAAUUCCAUACAGGAAGUAAGGAAUCUAACUAAAACUAAACAGGGCUCCAAACUAAUCAAGAGCAAAGAACAAAACUGGCCACGACAUGGGCUAAAACGAAACACAAAACAGCUUGACUCACAACUAGAAGGUCCAAGCAGGGAGGGGGGCAGACAGGUUCUGCAGCUGGUGAUCUGGGGGCGGCAUACGCCAGGGCUGCAACGAGCAGCAGGGAUAAGGCGGCUGCAGGAGCGCAGCGACGGGGAGCCGAGGUGAGGACAGAGGGGGAAACUCUGGGGACAAGGCAGGCGGCUGCGGGAGUGCAGUCUAGACAUUGUUAAUGUGGUAAAUGAACAUUCCUGCUGGAAACGGCUGAUUUUUAAUGGAAUAUCUCCAUAGGGGUACAGAGGAACAUUUCCAGCAACCAUCACUCCUGUGUUCUAAUGCUACAUUGUGUUAGCUAAUGGUGUUGAAAGGCUCAUUGAUGAUUAGAAAACCCUUGUGCAGUUAUGUUAGAACAUGGAUAAAAAUGUGUGUUUUCAUGGAAAACAUGAUAUUGCCUAGGUGACCCCAAACUUUUGAACGGUAGUGUAUAUGCUGCCCAAGUCAGCUGUAUGGGAAUAUUUUGACUAAAGAAAGGAUGAUCUUGAUCAGAAACAGGUACUUUGUCUUGCGAUUGUUGCCACUACACAAUGCCACCUGACUUGUUUACCAUUUAAAUCAGCACUAGUGCAAAGUCAAAUCUGAAUACCAUCCAGUCAGUCUUGCACCAUGUGAGAGAGAUUCCACUGUUUUCAUUUUGAAAAUCACAUUUUCAGCUUUUAGCUUGACCUCCUUUCCUAUGCAGAUACACUCCUUUACAAAUUUACCCCAGUCAUUCUAAAAUAAUUUACUACUUCUAUCUUCACAUCAUCUGGUGAAAAUUUGUAGUUUUUUUUCUCAUGACAACACAUUUGACAGAAAAACUAUUGCAGUGUGAUUUUUUAUUUUUUUCCAUUUGCCCUAUUUGGGUUAGCCUGGUCUGCCUACAUGGUGCCUCUCCUGUCUUAUUUGCACUGAGGACCCUGAGUCAAACAUUAACUCUGGGAUAAAUCAAACACAGCCUACUUUCUCUGAAAGCUAGCAGCACAACCACACGUCAGCUCUUCAUUAGUUCAUUAAACCGCUGCCAAACAAGACAACGCGGCUGAGUGGCAUCCUGCGGAUCUGGUUUGUGUCACUGAGGACUGAGUUUUACAGAAGAGAAAACAGACAUUUUGAUGGACAUGGAAUGAUUCUUAACCAUCUGUGAAUUGAGCCCUUUUCUAUGAAGUUAAAUGGAAGAAGAAUGCAAGUUGAGAGACCACAGCUGAGGGACACCAUGCAGCCAGGAGUGGGUUAUGGCUUAUAGCAGACUCCUGCUGCUGCUGAUAGGAGUGAUUUCCACGCACCUACCUGAAGUCCACGCAAGACCCAUUGACUUUUGGUGCAAAAAUGAUUCAAGAAAAAAGAUGAUAGAAAUGAUUGCGGAAUGGGCUGACUGCGUCACCUCCGACACACUGCCCUCUCCUGUGCAGCUACCAUGCGUUGGGUUCCGCAUGACAGAAUGGACAAAUAAAACCCUCCAGCAGAAGCGUGCAGAGGUGUUGGGAGCCCUCCAGGUGUUUGAAGGCGGGGUGCAGAGUGUGAUGAGUCAGGUCACACUGCCAUGUCAAACCUCACUGUUGGAGAAACUGAAGAAUAGCAUCAGAAAUUAUCUGGCUAUUGUCAAGACGCUUCCUAUACAGAGUGAUGACUUGACACCUUCUCAUUCUGCAGUAAUGAAUUGUUCCCAGAACAGUCUGAACAAAGUGCUGGGACACUACAGACGGCUACUGAUUGGAAAAGUGGAGCACCUUUUUGUAGACCUCCAGGACAUGUGCUCAGUAGAACAUGGGACAAUCAGUAAUCAAGGAUCUUGAGACUAAUUUAAGAAAUGGAAAGGAUCUUGUUGCUGCUGAGGUACCAGAGCCAAGACGCAGAAGUAUGUGAACCAAGUGAGUCUAUCAUGUUUACAAAGGCUUAAGAAGAAGAGUUGUGGUGGAAAUUAGCCGUGGUUUUGCUCUUUAAGCAUGGAUGAAGGCAUUAAGGGAGAAGGGAUCUGAAGGCCAAAGGAAGAAGCAAUACUUUUGACUUGAAACCUUGCAAGGAGUAUUGUUCGAAGGUCUCACUGGCAGAAGUAUUGAUGCAAAGGUACUGGUACAUCUUUGCUUUCCGUGAUAGCAUGCCAGCAUUUGCUAAUUAGCACUAAAUACAAAACACACUGAGAUUGCGAUCACUUACAGCUGCAUUCGGCUCUAAAACAAGGUCUUGGACAAUCGGCAAUAUGGAGAGCAUGAAAGUGAGAGAUGAAGCUGAGAGAUCACCAAGGUCAAACACGUCACAAAUCGCCAGUGCUGUGUAGAGAAAGUGGACUGAACUAAAGUAGUGGAUGGAACAGAUCGACAGACCAACAUUGUCAAGCUGCUUGCAAGACUAAAACAAGGAUACAACUUGAACCACCUAACCUGAAAUUUCUAGUAGUCAAGUGAAGGAUUUCCUACUCACAGAGGUGUGCUUUUUAUUUGUGGACUUAGUAUUUGUUUUUGCAAAGACAUAUUGAGCAACCAGCUGUCAGUGCCAAGAAAAUUUCACCUAAGGCUUCCAAAGGCUUUCAGGGUCUGAAGUGAAUCGAACCGACUGGAACUCACUCAGAACUGGAACUUUUUAUUUUGGCUUAAUGUCAGAAGUCCACAUAUUAUUUCGUUGUAACUGUGCGAUGACCAUAUACCCAACAGCAAAACGAGCAGAGGGAGCCUGUGCAUGUUGUUUUCUGAACUUCUUCUUGCAGUGUGAACUCUAAGCCGUGACUGUAGCACCCUCUGUGGGUGCUUGAUGAAAGGUGCUGUCAGAGGUCAGUGUGUUCUUACACCCUGGUCUGCAGGAAAGACCUGUGAAGAUUGUAAUAAUCAAUCUUUAUGUAAGAGAGGAAAGAAAGAAAGAAAGAAUAAUGAAAUGGAUGCAGUUUAAGAGACAGUGAGUGAUGUUUCCCUCCCCUUUCACUGCAAUGUGGUGAAAAUCAGUUUUGAACUACAAAGAUCUGCAAUGCAGGGGAACUUUUAUAUACAACAUUAAAAUCACUCAGUGCAUAUGCAAGCUUUUCAUAUUUUAAUUUAUAUCAUUGCAAUGUGGAAAAUCCAAAGAUGUAAAUAUGCGCAUUGACAGAACCUGUGUGUUUACUUUGCUUUUAUAAAAAUGUGUAGAUAGUGUAUGUAUGCAUUUCAUCAUAUAUGUAUUAUAUGUAAUAUAAGUAAAAAUGGUGCAGCAUUAUAUACAGCUUUCGAAAUACUUAUUGGACCACUGUGAAUGAUGUUUUUUGACUCCUCUUGUAGUUCUUAGUGGAGUCGCAUUCAAACACAAUGAUCAGUGUUGAAGGCCUGUUAAAGACUUUCUACAGUAAAGAAUGGGUGGUCUAAUAAUUAUUUUCAUUUCCACUUCUUUAUAUACAGUACCAGUCAAAAGUUUGGACACACCUUCUCAUUCAAUGGUUUUUAUUUCAUUAUUUCAUACAUUCUAGAUUAAUACUGAAUACAUCAAUACUAUAAAAGAACACAUAUGGACUUAUGCUGUAAACAAAAAAGUGUUUAUCUUCAGUAUUAACAUACAAUGCAGAAAAUCAUGCAAAUAAAUAUAAAGCAUUGAAUGAGAAGGUGUGUCCAAAUGUUUGACUGCUAGUGUAUGUAUAUAUAUAUAUAUAUAUAUAUAUAUAUAUAUAUAUAUAUAUAUAUAUAUACACACACACACACACACACUACUGUUCAAAAGUUUGGGGUCACCCAAAAUAUUUUAUGUUUUCCAUGAAAACUUACACUUUGACUCAUGUGCUAACAUAACUGCACAAGGGUUUUCUAAUCAUCAUUGAGCCUUUCAACACCAUUAGCUAACACAAUGUAGCAUUAGAACACAGGAGUGAUGGUUGCUGGAAAUGUUCUUCUGUACCCCUAUGGAGAUAUUCCAUUAAACAUCAGCUGUUUCCAGCUAGAAUAUAUAUUUAUCACAUUAACAAUGUCUAGACUGGAUUUGUAAUGCAUUUAAUGUUGUCUUCAUUGAAAAAAAUGCUUUUCUUCUAAAAAUAAAGACAUUUCUAAAUGACCCCAAACCUUUGAAAGGUAGUGUGUAUAUAUAUAUAUAUAUAUAUAUAUAUAUAUAUAUAUAUAUAUAUAUAUAUAUAUAUAUAUAAAUUACUACUAAACCGUUGCAGUGUCUAGGAAAGACUUUCAUGCUAUUCAGGCUGCUUUGUGUAUUAAUGUGUUAUUUAUUUACUACAGAAGACUUUGGACUGUUUGAGGUAGGACUGUUGUACUACUCUGUAUUAUGUGGAUCACUUUUCUCAUUAUUGUUGAAUGAGUCACAACUAAGAAUACACAAAAUAAAGACUAGAGGGAGUGUG